AUUGAACGCUGGCGGCAUGCCUAACACAUGCAAGUCGAACGGCAGCACAGUCUAGCUUGCUAGACGGGUGGCGAGUGGCGAACGGGUGAGUAACGCGUAGGAAUAUACCUUGAAGUGGGGGACAACCUGGGGAAACUCAGGCUAAUACCGCGUAAUCUCUUCGGAGGGAAGCUGGGGACCGCAAGGCCUGGCGCUUUAAGAUUAGCCUGCGUCGGAUUAGCUAGUUGGUGGGGUAAAGGGCUACCAAGGUGACGAGCGGUAUCUGGUCUGGGAGGAUGAUCAGCCACACUGGGACUGGGACACGGCCCAGACUCCUACGGGAGGCAGCAGUGGGGAAUAUUGGACAAUGGGGGGAACCCUGAUCCAGCAAUGCCGCGUGUGUGAAGAAGGCCUGAGGGUUGUAAAGCACUUUCGGCGGGGAGGAGGAUGAGUUGGUUAAGAGCUGACUUAUUGGACGUUACCCGCAUAAGAAGCACCGGCUAACUCCGUGCCAGCAGCCGCCGUAAGAC
rnacentral:rRNA from 1 species